rnacentral:rRNA from 1 species
AAAUUGAAGAGUUUGAUCAUGGCUCAGAUUGAACGCUGGCGGCAGGCCUAACACAUGCAAGUCGAACGGUAACAGGAAGCAGCUUGCUGCUUUGCUGACGAGUGGCGGACGGGUGAGUAAUGUCUGGGAAACUGCCUGAUGGAGGGGGAUAACUACUGGAAACGGUAGCUAAUACCGCAUAACGUCGCAAGACCAAAGAGGGGGACCUUCGGGCCUCUUGCCAUCGGAUGUGCCCAGAUGGGAUUAGCUUGUUGGUGGGGUAACGGCUCACCAAGGCGACGAUCCCUAGCUGGUCUGAGAGGAUGACCAGCCACACUGGAACUGAGACACGGUCCAGACUCCUACGGGAGGCAGCAGUGGGGAAUAUUGCACAAUGGGCGCAAGCCUGAUGCAGCCAUGCCGCGUGUAUGAAGAAGGCCUUCGGGUUGUAAAGUACUUUCAGCGGGGAGGAAGGGAGUAAAGUUAAUACCUUUGCUCAUUGACGUUACCCGCAGAAGAAGCACCGGCUAACUCCGUGCCAGCAGCCGCGGUAAUACGGAGGGUGCAAGCGUUAAUCGGAAUUACUGGGCGUAAAGCGCACGCAGGCGGUUUGUUAAGUCAGAUGUGAAAUCCCCGGGCUCAACCUGGGAACUGCAUCUGAUACUGGCAAGCUUGAGUCUCGUAGAGGGGGGNNGUGGCGAAGGCGGCCCCCUGGACGAAGACUGACGCUCAGGUGCGAAAGCGUGGGGAGCAAACAGGAUUAGAUACCCUGGUAGUCCACGCCGUAAACGAUGUCGACUUGGAGGUUGUGCCCUUGAGGCGUGGCUUCCGGAGCUAACGCGUUAAGUCGACCGCCUGGGGAGUACGGCCGCAAGGUUAAAACUCAAAUGAAUUGACGGGGGCCCGCACAAGCGGUGGAGCAUGUGGUUUAAUUCGAUGCAACGCGAAGAACCUUACCUGGUCUUGACAUCCACAGAACUUUCCAGAGAUGGAUUGGUGCCUUCGGGAACUGUGAGACAGGUGCUGCAUGGCUGUCGUCAGCUCGUGUUGUGAAAUGUUGGGUUAAGUCCCGCAACGAGCGCAACCCUUAUCCUUUGUUGCCAGCGGUCCGGCCGGGAACUCAAAGGAGACUGCCAGUGAUAAACUGGAGGAAGGUGGGGAUGACGUCAAGUCAUCAUGGCCCUUACGACCAGGGCUACACACGUGCUACAAUGGCGCAUACAAAGAGAAGCGACCUCGCGAGAGCAAGCGGACCUCAUAAAGUGCGUCGUAGUCCGGAUUGGAGUCUGCAACUCGACUCCAUGAAGUCGGAAUCGCUAGUAAUCGUGGAUCAGAAUGCCACGGUGAAUACGUUCCCGGGCCUUGUACACACCGCCCGUCACACCAUGGGAGUGGGUUGCAAAAGAAGUAGGUAGCUUAACCUUCGGGAGGGCGCUUACCACUUUGUGAUUCAUGACUGGGGUGAAGUCGUAACAAGGUAACCGUAGGGGAACCUGCGGUUGGAUCACCUCCUUA